rnacentral:tRNA from 1 species
GGUGGCUGAGCUGGUUAAAGCACCUGUCUUGUUAACAGGGCAGCCUGGGUUUGAUUCCCAGAGCCCCCC